UAAUACGGGAGUGGCAAGCGUUAUCCGGAAUUAUUGGGCGUAAAGCGUCCGCAGGCGGCCCUUCAAGUCUGCUGUUAAAAAGUGGAGCUUAACUCCAUCAUGGCAGUGGAAACUGUUGGGCUUGAGUGUGGUAGGGGCAGAGGGAAUUCCCGGUGUAGCGGUGAAAUGCGUAGAUAUCGGGAAGAACACCAGUGGCGAAGGCGCUCUGCUGGGCCAUCACUGACGCUCAUGGACGAAAGCCAGGGGAGCGAAAGGGAUUAGAUACCCCUGUAGUCCUGGCCGUAAACGAUGAACACUAGGUGUCGGGGGAAUCGACCCCUCCGGUGUCGUAGCCAACGCGUUAAGUGUUCCGCCUGGGGAGUACGCACGCAAGUGUG
rnacentral:rRNA from 1 species